CGGUAUCCUGUGUUGCUUACCCUUGGAAAGGAAUUUGAUGGUUUCGAUGUCCCUAUACGCCUUGCGCCCUUCGGGGUGUGGGGUGGACGUGAGGCAGGCUCUGUGUUGCCCUCGUUGAGUGUGUUGAUGCUCGGCUGUUGUGGCCCAUGGGGUCUUGGCUCUUGCUCUGUGAUGCAGAAUGUUGUGUGUGUUGGUAUGGGGUCUCGGCCUCUUCUCGUCCAAGCUAACACACAUUGUCCCUUGACUUGAAUGACUGCCACGCUCGUCUUUGAUCGACUGAACGGAGCCUUGUCGUGGGGCUCCGGGAGGGCGACUCAUGCG
rnacentral:misc_RNA from 1 species